rnacentral:rRNA from 1 species
GGGCCCGCACAAGCGGUGGAUUAUGUGGAUUAAUUCGAUGCAACGCGAAAAACCUUACCUGGCCUUGACAUGUACCGAAUUUAGCAGAGAUGCUUUAGUGCUCGUAAGAGAACGGUAACACAGGUGCUGCAUGGCUGUCGUCAGCUCGUGUCGUGAGAUGUUGGGUUAAGUCCCGCAACGAGCGCAACCCUUGCCAUUAAUUGCCAUCAUUUAGUUGGGCACUUUAAUGGGACUGCCGGUGACAAACCGGAGGAAGGUGGGGAUGACGUCAAGUCCUCAUGGCCCUUAUGGCCAGGGCUUCACACGUAAUACAAUGGUCGGUACAGAGGGCUGCUAACCCGCGAGGGGGAGCUAAUCCGACAAAACUUGUCGUAGUCCGGAUCGGAGUCUGCAACUCGACUCCGUG